UUAAAGAGUAAGGGUGCUCAGCGCCCGACCUCCAACCCUUUGUUGUUAAAACUACCUUGUUGCUUUGGCGGGACCGCUCGGUCUCGAGCCGCUGGGGAUUCGGCCCAGGCGAGCGCCCGCCAGAGUUAAGCCAAACUCUUGUUAUUUAACCGGUCGUCUGAGUUAAAAUUUUGAAUAAAUCAAAACUUUCAACAACGGAUCUCUUGGUUCUCGCAUCGAUGAAGAACGCAGCGAAAUGCGAUAAGUAAUGUGAAUUGCAGAAUUCAGUGAAUCAUCGAAUCUUUGAACGCACAUUGCGCCCCUUGGUAUUCCGAGGGGCAUGCCUGUUCGAGCGUCAUUACACCACUCAAGCUAUGCUUGGUAUUGGGUGCCGUCCUUAGUUGGGCGCGCCUUAAAGACCUCGGCGAGGCCUCACCGGCUUUAGGCGUAGUAGAAUUUAUUCGAACGUCUGUCAAAGGAGAGGACUUCUGCCGACUGAAACCUUUAUUUUUCUAGGUUGACCUCGGAUCAGGUAGGGAUACCCGCUGAACUUAAGC
rnacentral:rRNA from 1 species